CGUAGCUCAGCUGGAUAGAGCAACGGCCUUCUAAGCCGUGGGUCGGGGGUUCGAAUCCCUUCGG
rnacentral:tRNA from 16 species